UUGGGAAUAUUGGACAAUGGGGGAAACCCUGAUCCAGCGAUGCCGCGUGAGUGAUGAAGGCCUUCGGGUUGUAAAGCUCUUUUGGUGGGGACGAUGAUGACGGUACCCACAGAAUAAGCUCCGGCUAACUUCGUGCCAGCAGCCGCGGUAAUACGAAGGGAGCAAGCGUUGUUCGGAUUUACUGGGCGUAAAGAGCGCGUAGGCGGUUUGGUAAGUUGGAUGUGAAAGCCCCGGGCUCAACCUGGGAACUGCAUUCAAAACUGCCAGACUCGAGUGUGGAAGAGGAUGGUGGAAUUCCCGGUGUAGAGGUGAAAUUCGUAGAUAUCGGGAGGAACACCUGUGGCGAAGGCGGCCAUCUGGUCCACAACUGACGCUGAGGCGCGAAAGCGUGGGGAGCAAA
rnacentral:rRNA from 1 species